CUACGUGCCAGCAGCCGCGGUAAUACGGAGGGUGCGAGCGUUAAUCGGAAUAACUGGGCGUAAAGGGCACGCAGGCGGCUAUUUAAGUGAGGUGUGAAAUCCCCGGGCUUAACCUGGGAAUUGCAUUUCAGACUGGGUAGCUAGAGUACUUUAGGGAGGGGUAGAAUUCCACGUGUAGCGGUGAAAUGCGUAGAGAUGUGGAGGAAUACCGAAGGCGAAGGCAGCCCCUUGGGAAUGUACUGACGCUCAUGUGCGAAAGCGUGGGGAGCAAACAGGAUUAGAUACCCUGGUAGUCCACGCUGUAAACGMUGUCGAUUUGGGGGUUGAACUUUAGGUUUGGCGCCCGUAGCUAACGUGAUAAAUCGACCGCCUGGGGAGUACGGCCGCAAGGUUAAAACUCAAAUGAAUUGACGGGGGCCCGCACAAGCGGUGGAGCAUGUGGUUUAAUUCGAUGCAACGCGAAGAACCUUACCUGGUCUUGACAUAGUGAGAAUCUUGCAGAGAUGCGAGAGUGC
rnacentral:rRNA from 1 species